rnacentral:rRNA from 1 species
CGAACGGGUGAGUAAUGCGUGACCAACCUGCCCCAUGCUCCAGAAUAGCUCUUGGAAACGGGUGGUAAUGCUGGAUGCUCCAACUUGACGCAUGUCUUGUUGGGAAAGUGUUUAGUGGCAUGGGAUGGGGUCGCGUCCUAUCAGCUUGUAGGCGGGGUAAUGGCCCACCUAGGCUUGACGGGUAGCCGGCCUGAGAGGGCGGACGGCCACAUUGGGACUGAGAUACGGCCCAGACUCCUACGGGAGGCAGCAGUC